rnacentral:rRNA from 1 species
GUCCACGCUGUAAACGAUGGGUGCUAGGUGUGGGCGGUGUCGACUCCGUCCGUGCCGAAGCUAACGCAUUAAGCACCCCGCCUGGGGAGUACGGCCGCAAGGCUAAAACUCAAAGGAAUUGACGGGGCCCGCACAAGCAGCGGAGCAUGUUGUUUAAUUCGACGCGACGCGAAGAACCUUACCAGGGCUUGACAUGCACGGGAAUGUCGUAGAAAUACGGCAGCCCUUCGGGGCUCGUGCACAGGUGGUGCAUGGCUGUCGU